rnacentral:rRNA from 1 species
UUAAGCGACUAAGCGUACACGGUGGAUGCCCUGGCAGUCAGAGGCGAUGAAGGACGUGCUAAUCUGCGAUAAGCGUCGGUGAGGUGAUAUGAACCGUUAUAACCGGCGAUUUCCGAAUGGGGAAACCCAGUGUGUUUCGACACACUAUCAUUAACUGAAUCCAUAGGUUAAUGAGGCGAACCGGGGGAACUGAAACAUCUAAGUACCCCGAGGAAAAGAAAUCAACCGAGAUUCCCCCAGUAGCGGCGAGCGAACGGGGAGGAGCCCAGAGCCUGAAUCAGUGUGUGUGUUAGUGGAAGCGUCUGGAAAGGCGCGCGAUACAGGGUGACAGCCCCGUACACAAAAAUGCACAUAUUGUGAGCUCGAUGAGUAGGGCGGGACACGUGGUAUCCUGUCUGAAUAUGGGGGGACCAUCCUCCAAGGCUAAAUACUCCUGACUGACCGAUAGUGAACCAGUACCGUGAGGGAAAGGCGAAAAGAACCCCGGCGAGGGGAGUGAAAAAGAACCUGAAACCGUGUACGUACAAGCAGUGGGAGCCUCUUAAUGGGGUGACUGCGUACCUUUUGUAUAAUGGGUCAGCGACUUAUAUUCUGUAGCAAGGUUAACCGAAUAGGGGAGCCGAAGGGAAACCGAGUCUUAACUGGGCGUUAAGUUGCAGGGUAUAGACCCGAAACCCGGUGAUCUAGCCAUGGGCAGGUUGAAGGUUGGGUAACACUAACUGGAGGACCGAACCGACUAAUGUUGAAAAAUUAGCGGAUGACUUGUGGCUGGGGGUGAAAGGCCAAUCAAACCGGGAGAUAGCUGGUUCUCCCCGAAAGCUAUUUAGGUAGCGCCUCGUGAAUUCAUCUCCGGGGGUAGAGCACUGUUUCGGCAAGGGGGUCAUCCCGACUUACCAACCCGAUGCAAACUGCGAAUACCGGAGAAUGUUAUCACGGGAGACACACGGCGGGUGCUAACGUCCGUCGUGAAGAGGGAAACAACCCAGACCGCCAGCUAAGGUCCCAAAGUCAUGGUUAAGUGGGAAACGAUGUGGGAAGGCCCAGACAGCCAGGAUGUUGGCUUAGAAGCAGCCAUCAUUUAAAGAAAGCGUAAUAGCUCACUGGUCGAGUCGGCCUGCGCGGAAGAUGUAACGGGGCUAAACCAUGCACCGAAGCUGCGGCAGCGACACUAUGUGUUGUUGGGUAGGGGAGCGUUCUGUAAGCCUGUGAAGGUGGCCUGUGAGGGUUGCUGGAGGUAUCAGAAGUGCGAAUGCUGACAUAAGUAACGAUAAAGCGGGUGAAAAGCCCGCUCGCCGGAAGACCAAGGGUUCCUGUCCAACGUUAAUCGGGGCAGGGUGAGUCGACCCCUAAGGCGAGGCCGAAAGGCGUAGUCGAUGGGAAACAGGUUAAUAUUCCUGUACUUGGUGUUACUGCGAAGGGGGACGGAGAAGGCUAUGUUGGCCGGGCGACGGUUGUCCCGGUUUAAGCGUGUAGGCUGGUUUUCCAGGCAAAUCCGGAAAAUCAAGGCUGAGGCGUGAUGACGAGGCACUACGGUGCUGAAGCGACAAAUGCCCUGCUUCCAGGAAAAGCCUCUAAGCAUCAGGUAACAUCAAAUCGUACCCCAAACCGACACAGGUGGUCAGGUAGAGAAUACCAAGGCGCUUGAGAGAACUCGGGUGAAGGAACUAGGCAAAAUGGUGCCGUAACUUCGGGAGAAGGCACGCUGAUAUGUAGGUGAAGCGACUUGCUCGUGGAGCUGAAAUCAGUCGAAGAUACCAGCUGGCUGCAACUGUUUAUUAAAAACACAGCACUGUGCAAACACGAAAGUGGACGUAUACGGUGUGACGCCUGCCCGGUGCCGGAAGGUUAAUUGAUGGGGUUAGCGGUAACGCGAAGCUCUUGAUCGAAGCCCCGGUAAACGGCGGCCGUAACUAUAACGGUCCUAAGGUAGCGAAAUUCCUUGUCGGGUAAGUUCCGACCUGCACGAAUGGCGUAAUGAUGGCCAGGCUGUCUCCACCCGAGACUCAGUGAAAUUGAACUCGCUGUGAAGAUGCAGUGUACCCGCGGCAAGACGGAAAGACCCCGUGAACCUUUACUAUAGCUUGACACUGAACAUUGAGCCUUGAUGUGUAGGAUAGGUGGGAGGCUUUGAAGUGUGGACGCCAGUCUGCAUGGAGCCGGCCUUGAAAUACCACCCUUUAAUGUUUGAUGUUCUAACGUGGGCCCCUUACCGGGGUUGCGGACAGUGUCUGGUGGGUAGUUUGACUGGGGCGGUCUCCUCCUAAAGAGUAACGGAGGAGCACGAAGGUUGGCUAAUCCUGGUCGGACAUCAGGAGGUUAGUGCAAUGGCAUAAGCCAGCUUGACUGCGAGCGUGACGGCGCGAGCAGGUGCGAAAGCAGGUCAUAGUGAUCCGGUGGUUCUGAAUGGAAGGGCCAUCGCUCAACGGAUAAAAGGUACUCCGGGGAUAACAGGCUGAUACCGCCCAAGAGUUCAUAUCGACGGCGGUGUUUGGCACCUCGAUGUCGGCUCAUCACAUCCUGGGGCUGAAGUAGGUCCCAAGGGUAUGGCUGUUCGCCAUUUAAAGUGGUACGCGAGCUGGGUUUAGAACGUCGUGAGACAGUUCGGUCCCUAUCUGCCGUGGGCGCUGGAGAACUGAGGGGGGCUGCUCCUAGUACGAGAGGACCGGAGUGGACGCAUCACUGGUGUUCGGGUUGUCAUGCCAAUGGCACUGCCCGGUAGCUAAAUGCGGAAGAGAUAAGUGCUGAAAGCAUCUAAGCACGAAACUUGCCCCGAGAUGAGUUCUCCCUGACCCUUUAAGGGUCCUGAAGGAACGUUGAAGACGACGACGUUGAUAGGCCGGGUGUGUAAGCGCAGCGAUGCGUUGAGCUAACCGGUACUAAUGAACCGUGAGGCUUAACCUU